rnacentral:rRNA from 1 species
UGGUAAGGUAGUGGCUUACCAAGGUUGUGACGGGUAACGGGGAAUCAGGGUUCGAUUCCGGAGAGGGAGCCUGAGAAACGGCUACCACAUCUAAGGAAGGCAGCAGGCGCGCAAAUUACCCAAUCCAGACAUUGGGAGGUAGUGACGAGAAAUACCAAAGUGUGCCCAUUCGGGUACAUUAUUGGAAUGAACGUAACAUAGUACCUUCGAUGAGUACCUACUGGAGGGCAAGUCUGGUGCCAGCAGCCGCGGUAAUUCCAGCUCCAGUAGUGUAUAUCAAAAUUGUUGCGGUUAAAACGCUCGUAGUUGGAUUACAAAAGUCAGGCGUUGGUCGAGCAAUUGCUUGGUCAAUGCAGGGCUUUUUUAUCGCAAGAACCACUCGUGCAUUUAACCGUGUGCGGGUGAUCACUUGCGGAGCGUGCCUUGAAUAAAGCACAGUGCUCAAAGCAAGCGUAACGCUCGAAUGUUUAAGCAUGGAACGAAUAAUUCUGACUACAGGUUCAGUUGUUGGUUAUCUGAGCCGGGUCCUGAUUAAAAGGGACAUUUGAGGGCGUUAGUACUUGGCGGCGAGAGGUGAAAUUCUUAGACCCGUCAAAGACUCACUGAUGCGAAAGCAUUCGCCAAGAAUGUUUUCAUUGAUCAAGAACGAAAGUUAGAGGUUCGAAGA